rnacentral:rRNA from 1 species
UACGUAGGGGGCAAGCGUUGUCCGGAUUUAUUGGGCGUAAAGAGCGUGUAGGCGGCCUGACAGGUCUGCUGUGAAAACCCGAGGCUCAACCUCGAGAUGUCGGCGGAAACCGUCUGGCUAGAGUCCGGAAGAGGAGAGUGGAAUUCCUGGUGUAGCGGUGAAAUGCGCAGAUAUCAGGAAGAACACCUAUGGCGAAGGCAGCUCUCUGGGACGGUACUGACGCUGAGACGCGAAAGCGUGGGGAGCGAACAGG